GUACUGGUUUCGACGGGGAUGUUGAAGUUUGGGAAGCCAUCCGCAGACUCCGUGACUGCGUCAUCAACAUGGAACCUAAAUAUAAAUGCAGACGAUAAUAGUUUAGCAUACGCUGCCUAAGGGCAGCUGUCGAUCCGGAAUGACCUGCCGUUCCGGGGUUCGGCAUCAUGGAGGCGGGAAAGUCCAGUGCCAAAGCUUUGAGGCCCUGGAACAUUUAUGAAGCUACUAAAGGCAUGAGCCUGCUGCCGGGCAUAUGCCGGAGGGAAUGUUCAGUACAGCAGCUGUGAUGGGAGAAGCCUGAAGGGAUAUGUUUUCGGACGCGGGUUCGAUUCCCGCCUGGUCCACU
rnacentral:tmRNA from 1 species